UUCCAGGCCCUACGGGGGGCAGCAGUGAGGGAUUUUCGGCAAUGGGCGAAAGCCUGACCGAGCGACGCCGCGUGAGCGAAGAAGGCCUUCGGGUCGUAAAGCUCUGUCUAGGGGGACGAGGAAGGACGGUACCC
rnacentral:rRNA from 1 species